rnacentral:pre_miRNA from 1 species
AAUAAGAUUAUUUUUCAGUUUUUUGAUAUAAUGUUUUGACUCUUCGUCUUAUGUGAAAUUUUUUCGAUUAAUGUUUUUAUUCUUACUAGAUGAUAAAACAUGAAUAGUUUUUUAUACGUGACUAUUUUUUUAAGUUUUUAUACAAAAUUUUCAAAUAAGACAAAUAGUCAAACAUUGGAACGGAAAAAAAAAGUUAUUAUGAGA